rnacentral:rRNA from 1 species
GAUGAACGCUGGCGGCGUGCCUAAUACAUGCAAGUCGAGCGAACGGACGAGAAGCUUGCUUCUCUGAUGUUAGCGGCGGACGGGUGAGUAACACGUGGAUAACCUACCUAUAAGACCGGGAUAACUUCGGGAAACCGGAGCUAAUACCGGAUAAUAUUUUGAACCGCAUGGUUCAAAAGUGAAAGACGGUCUUGCUGUCACUUAUAGAUGGAUCCGCGCUGCAUUAGCUAGUUGGUAAGGUAACGGCUUACCAAGGCAACGAUGCAUAGCCGACCUGAGAGGGUGAUCGGCCACACUGGAACUGAGACACGCUCCAGACUCCUACGGGAGGCAGCAGUAGGGAAUCUUCCGCAAUGGGCGAAAGCCUGACGGAGCAACGCCGCGUGAGUGAUGAAGGUCUUCGGAUCGUAAAACUCUGUUAUUAGGGAAGAACAUAUGUGUAAGUAACUGUGCACAUCUUGACGGUACCUAAUCAGAAAGCCACGGCUAACUACGUG